AAGAAGGCCCUAGGGUUGUAAAGCCCUUUCCGCGGGGAAGAUGAUGACGGUACCCGCAGAAGAAGCCCCGGCUAACUCCGUGCCAGCAGCCGCGGUAAUACGGAGGGGGCUAGCGUUGUUCGGAAUUACUGGGCGUAAAGGGCGCGUAGGCGGACCGCCAAGUCAGGGGUGAAAGGCCCGGGCUCAACCUAGGAACGGGCCUUGAAACUGACGGUCUUGAGUCCGGGAGAGGAGAGCGGAAUUCCCAGUGUAGAGGUGAAAUUCGUAGAUAUUGGGAAGAACACCUGUGGCCAAGGCGGCUCUCUGGACCGGCACUGACCCUGAGGCGCGAAAGCGUGGGGAGCAAACUGGAUUAAAUACCCUGGUAGUCCACGCCUUAAACGAUGUGCGCUAGCCGGUGGGCAACAUAGUCGGUCUCUGGCGCAACUCACGCAUUAAGCGCACCGCCUGGGGAGUACGGCCGCAAGAGUAACACUCACAGGAAUUGACAGGGCUGA
rnacentral:rRNA from 1 species